rnacentral:rRNA from 1 species
GAUGAACGCUGGCGGCGUGCCUAACACAUGCAAGUCGAACGGAGUUAUUAUUAUGAAGUUUUCGGAUGGAUUAAUAAUAACUUAGUGGCGGACGGGUGAGUAACGCGUGGGUAACCUGCCUCAUACAGGGGGAUAACAGUUGGAAACGGCUGCUAAAACCGCAUAACAUUGCGAUGUCGCAUGACAAUGCAAUUAAAUAUUUAUAGGUAUGAGAUGGGCCCGCGUCUGAUUAGGUAGUUGGUGGGGUAAUGGCCUACCAAGGAGACGAUCAGGAGCCUGCUUGAGAGCGUGACCGGCCACAUUGGGACUGGGACACGGCCCAAACUCCUACGGGAGGCAGCAGUGGGGGAAUAUUGCACAAUGGGGGAAACCCUGAUGCAGCGACGCCGCGUGAGUGAAGAAGUAUUUCGGUAUGUAAAGCUCUAUCAGCAGGGAAGAAAAUGACGGUACCUGACUAAGAAGCCCCGGCUAACUACGUGCCAGCCGCCGCCGUAA